rnacentral:rRNA from 1 species
GACGAACGCUGGCGGCGUGCUUAACACAUGCAAGUCGAACGGUAAGGCCCUUCGGGGUACACGAGUGGCGAACGGGUGAGUAACACGUGGGUGAUCUGCCCUGCACUUCGGGAUAAGCCUGGGAAACUGGGUCUAAUACCGGAUAGGACUUCUGGCUUCAUGGUUGGGGGUGGAAAGCUUUUGCGGUGUGGGAUGGGCCCGCGGCCUAUCAGCUUGUUGGUGGGGUAAUGGCCUACCAAGGCGACGACGGGUAGCCGGCCUGAGCAGGGUGACCGGUCACACUGGGACUGAGAUACGGCCCAGACUCCUACGGGAGGCAGCAGUGGGGAAUAUUGCACAAUGGGCGCAAGCCUGAUGCAGCGACGCCGCGUGAGGGAUGACGGCCUUCGGGUUGUAAACCUCUUUCAGCUAUGACGAAGCGCAAGUGACGGUAGUAGCAGAAGAAGGACCGGCCAACUACGUGCCAGCCGCCGCAGUAA